AACGAACGCUGGCGGCAGGCUUAACACAUGCAAGUCGAGCGCUCUCUUCGGAGGGAGCGGCGGACGGGUGAGUAACGCGUGGGAACGUGCCCUGGGGUACGGAACAACAGCUGGAAACGGCUGCUAAUACCGUAUGAUCCUCUUCGGAGGCAAAGAUUUAUCGCCCUGGGAUCGGCCCGCGUCGGAUUAGGUAGUUGGUGGGGUAACGGCCCACCAAGCCGACGAUCCGUAGCUGGUUUGAGAGGAUGAUCAGCCACACUGGGACUGAGACACGGCCCAGACUCCUACGGGAGGCAGCAGUGGGGAAUCUUGGACAAUGGGGGCAACCCUGAUCCAGCCAUGCCGCGUGAGCGAUGAAGGCCCUAGGGUUGUAAAGCUCUUUCACCCGCGAAGAUAAUGACGGUAGCGGGAGAAGAAGCCCCGGCUAACUCCGUGCCAGCAGCCGCCGUAAAAC
rnacentral:rRNA from 1 species